rnacentral:tRNA from 1 species
UCCUCUAUAGCUCAAUCAGGCAGAGCGGUUGACUGUUAAUCAAUAGGUUCCUGGUUCGAUUCCAGGUGGAGGAG